GCCGGCGUAGCCUAGCCUGGUAAGGCGGUGGCCUCGAGAGCCACUGGGCUUUGCCCACGCAGGUUCGAAUCCUGCCGCCGGCG
rnacentral:tRNA from 1 species